rnacentral:rRNA from 1 species
UUAAUUGAAGAGUUUGAUCAUGGCUCAGAUUGAACGCUGGCGGCAGGCCUAACACAUGCAAGUCGAGCGGCAGCACAGAGGAACUUGUUCCUUGGGUGGCGAGCGGCGGACGGGUGAGUAAUGCCUGGGAAAUUGCCCGGUAGAGGGGGGAUAACCAUUGGAAACGAUGGCUAAUACCGCAUA